AAAUAACAAUACAGGGCAAUUGUCUUGUAAUUGGAAUGAUGGUGACCUAAACCCUCACCAGAGUAACAAUUGGAGGGCAAGUCUGGUGCCAGCAGCCGCGGUAAUUCCAGCUCCAAUAGCGUAUAUUAAACUUGUUGCAGUUAAAAAGCUCGUAGUUGAAUUUUUGCGUCACCGUGUAUCGACAUUUGUCGUUUAUCGGUUUCGCUUUUGGGAUUUAUCCCUUUUUACUUUGAGAAAAUUAGAGUGUUUCAAGCAGACUUUUGUCUUGAAUACUUCAGCAUGGAAUAAUAGAGUAGGACUUUGGUUCUAUUUUGUUGGUUUGUGAACCUUAGUAAUGGUUAAUAGGAACGGUUGGGGGCAUUCGUAUUUA
rnacentral:rRNA from 1 species